CAGUACAAGCAGCGCCUCCGUCCUAUCCCCAUUCCCUGUUGCAGCGACGGCCGCCCUUCCCCUGCAUGCCCAUAGAUGGAGGCGGAGGCGCAGACCUCGGUACGGCAUGCUCCCGGAGUUGAUAGUCGACGCCCCUCCCUACCUUGCCCGCGACUGGUAUUUCGACGCAUCAGCUGAAUAGAAAUGACUGGACCAGAUUCUUUUUUGCUGCUGAAUAAUCAUGGAGGGAAGAUCAAGCAGCCAAUCGGGUGAGAAACUGAGGAUAUAAAAGAGGAGGCAGAAGAAAAACUAAAAUUAAAAGAAGUACGGGGACUGGAGCAGAUUUUCAAAAUUGGUCAACAUGAAGCAAAAUCGGAGGAGAAAUACCAACUGUGAAUGGUGAUUGCACUCAAUAUUUCAUGUUGGUGAAGGAUUUGAGGUGGUCCGUGAAUGUUGGAACAGAUUGGCCAAAUGACUGAACAGAAGGAACAAGUGACCUGAUAUUAAAAGGAAUAACAUAGGUGUUGGUGGAAGGCACUUUAGUUGUAGGAGGCGGGGUUGCACUCUCAGUCGUACAAAAUGGCUUGUAAUAAAGUUCAAAAAGGUCGACGCCUCUUCUUAGAUGCUAGAUGGGCCUAUACUGUAGAUUCAGAUAGCGACAUAUAAAUGCCCGUGAAAGAACACCGGCUCAAGCAAGUAAAUACCGACUCAGGCAAAAGUCAACAUCAACUACUUCGGGUCAAGGGAGAUGCAGGAGCUGCAAAAGAUUAGGCUAGACGCAUUAUGAUCGGAUACACAAGGCCUCCUAGCGAAUCUGAUAUGAUUAUGAGGCAAGGUAAAUAGAUCUCAAAGCAUGAAACCUCAAGUAUCCUAUCAAAUUGGUAUUAGUGAACUAUUAAAACAUUAUGAUCUGACAGAUUGGUAUUUGUUCAAACCAUGAUUACUGCAAAUUCUCACAUGAUGGGGAAGUUCUUCAGACAAAGUGCAUACAGCUGGUGAUCCGCAUGAGAGUAAACUACAUACAACUUGAUACCUUUUUCAGGUGAUCCGUGUUUCCCAAAUGGGGAAGUUCUUCAAACAAAGUGCACCUCAAGUUUCCCUGUUGAUCCGCAUGAUAAUCAAAUACAUACAAAUUACAAAUCAGGAAAGGUACGAAACAGCAAGUUUCCUCAGCAAUUUGAAAACUGCAUACAACCAAGAGGUGUGGUUAUGUACCUUUACUCUCCCUGAUGGUUAUGUACGAAACUGCAUAACAAUGGUUCAAGGUACCCUUUAUAUGCACGCACCAGAAAGCAUGGCUGGGGGAUUAGGAUUCUACCAAUAUUGUUGAUCCGCAAUGAUGGAGUUUCCUUUAAAAUGUGAGACAUCUCUGAAAUGCUGCAGUUUUCUUUGAAAUGGCUGGGCGGUUUCCUUUUCUGUAGCCCUGACAUAAUGAGAUGAUUUGCCGCGGUGAUUAUGCGCUGGACUUUCCUGGAAUGAUGUUGCCGUGCUGAAAUGAUUAUAGGGAGGUGGGAGGGCAAAUUGGUCAAGUGAUUAUGCGGUUUCUUAUUCUGUUGCAUUGAAAUGAUGUUGCCGUGCUGAAUUUGUUUUGAGGUAAGGUGGGAGGGCAAAUUGGUCAAGUUGAAAAUAUGUGUGACGAAACCUCUGACCGGAGGUUCUUCCUUUUUAGAUGGUAGAGAUAGAGAUAGAGAUAGAGAUAGAGAUAGAGAUAGAGAUAGAGACUCAAUGAAGGAAACAUGAUAAUCUGAUGAUGCUGUGUAGGCGCCAUUUAUAGUUAGGCGCCAAAUGAAGCUGUGUUCUUCUCUUCUUCUGAAGAUAAGGGCUCCAGCGCCUGAAUUUGAGCGAAGAGCUCGAUGAACUCAGCUAUUGCUUGUAUGGAUAAUGGAUAGUGUACAUCUCAAGUCUGAAACCCA